rnacentral:rRNA from 1 species
GAUGAACGCUGGCGGCGUGCCUAAUACAUGCAAGUCGAGCGAACAGACGAGGCGCUUGCUCCUUUGACGUUAGCGGCGGACGGGUGAGUAACACGUGGGGAACCUACCUAUAAGACUGGGAUAACUUCGGGAAACUGGAGCUACUGCCUGGUAAUAUUUCGCACCGCAUGGUUCGAUAGUUAAAGAUGGCUCUGCUAUCACUUAUAGAUGGACCGGCGCGGUAUUAGCUAGUUGGUAAGGUAACGGCUUACCAAGGCAACGAUGCGUAGCCGACCUGAGAGGGUGAGAGGCCACACUGGAACUGAGACACGGUCAAGACUCCUACGGGAGGCAGCAGUAGGGAAUCUUCCGAAAUGGGCGAAAGCGUGACGGACCGACGCCGCGUGAGUGAUGAAGGUCUGCGGAUCGUAAAACUCUGUUAUUAGGGAAGACCAAACGUGUAAGUAACUGUGCACGUGUUGACGGUACCUAAUCAGAAAGCCACGGCUAACUACGUG